rnacentral:tRNA from 1 species
CAAGAUUUAACAUAAGUAAUGUGUCUCACUUACAUUGAGAAAAUAAUUAGGUUUAAUUAGUCUUGA